rnacentral:lncRNA from 1 species
CACCAGGAGACGAUGGAAGGUCUAUAGUGUUACAGCUCUGACCCAGGAAGUCCCAGGGUCUUGCCUUCCAGAAGGGUCGCGGCUCUUCCCUCCCUCAGUCCAACGAACAGGAGCACGUCACCUCCCGCAGCUCGGGGAGCUGGCCAGGAACGUGUUACAGCCCGUUUCGCUCCUGUCCGCAGCUGGGUGAGGCAGCCAGGAAAAUAUUACAGCUCUUCUCACGCCCGCCAUUCAGCAGGUCCUGACUUCUUGUGUGACAUCCAGAAGAAAGGGGUUACACAGACAGCUGGAGGGUGAGCAAAGUGGAGAAGUUCUCAGCAGAGAGGAGACUGGAGUGAGUUGCCCCUACCCGCAGGUGCCAACUGUAAUACAUCAGUAGCUGAACAGCUCAUUGCCCUCAAGUGUUCUUGCUCAUGCCUGGCUGAGUUAUUGAAGAAAUUGCUCAGAUCUCAAGCCCUUGUAGAUCACUGGUCCUGGCAGAUGUUUCCGCCCAUAUCCUCGACUACUCUUCUUCAGGAAAAGCUUCACAGAGCUGGAGACUGUGUGUUCCUUCUUCAAGCAGCAUCGAUGUUUUCCUGAUGGUGCUCAGUGAAUUCUGACCGCACUCUCUGGAAUCUUACUUUUUCAUGACGCUAGCUGUCUCAUCUCAAGAAAGCCUGGGUGGCUUUCUCUUGAUCUUUUAUUACACAUUUCCUUAUUCCUUAAAAAUAACUCAAAUGCAGUUUUAAAACAGCUGACUCUGAAGCCAGAUUAGGUGGAUCCCAAUUUUGGCUCUUGUGUUUGCUAACUUUAGGACACCCUAGACAAUUUUAUUAAGCUUCUGUGUUUUUCAUUUUUAUAUAAGAAUAAAGGAACAGCAUUUUCUAACUCAUAGGAGAGCUAUGUUACAGAUUAAAUGAGUUAAUUAGCAUUUACACAUUAAAUGCUCUAAUUACCACCUAUGUCAACCCUUUGGAAUACAUGAGGCUGGCUAUUGUCUUUGCAUUUCAUUCUAGGACUGCAUAUGAUAUAAUCCACACUGUUACAUAAUCCACAUUAUUGCAAACAUACAUUAAUUUUCUUCUUUCAUGAAAUUAAAGUAGGAACUCCUUAAGCUUAGCAAAUAGUGCUUUUUCCACUCUGCCUACCAGCCUUUGUCACAAAGGCCUCUUUUUCAUAGUUUACUAAAUAACGGACAGGCUAGCCCAGGAUGUCAUAGACACAUGUUGCUUUGCUGGGGAUAUAUGUCAUAGGCUGUUUUCAUUCAGAAAAUUCAAAACUCAUUGCGUAAUCUUGC